CCUACGGGUGGCAGCAGUGAGGAAUAUUGGUCAAUGGACGAGAGUCUGAACCAGCCAAGUAGCGUGAAGGAUGACUGCCCUAUGGGUUGUAAACUUCUUUUAUAUGGGAAUAAAAUGUUCCACGUGUGGGAUUUUGUAUGUACCAUAUGAAUAAGGAUCGGCUAACUCCGUGCCAGCAGCCGCGGUAAUACGGAGGAUCCGAGCGUUAGCCGGAUUUAUUGGGUUUAAAGGGAGCGUAGGUGGAUUGUUAAGUUAGUUGUGAAAGUUUGCGGCUCAACCGUAAAAUUGCAGUUGAUACUGGCAGUCUUGAGUACAGUAGAGGUGGGCGGAAUUCGUGGUGUAGCGGUGAAAUGCUUAGAUAUCACGAAGAACUCCGAUUGCGAAGGCAGUUCACUGGACUGCAACUGACACUGAUGCUCGAAAGUGUGGGUAUCAAACAGGAUUAGAUACCCGUGUAGUC
rnacentral:rRNA from 1 species